CUUUCAACAACGGAUCUCUUGGUUCCGGCAUCGAUGAAGAACGCAGCGAAAUGCGAUAAAUAAUGCGAAUUGCAGAAUUCAGUGAGUCAUCGAGUUUUUGAACGCACAUUGCGCCCUCUGGAACUCCAGAGGGCAUACCUGUUCGAGCGUC
rnacentral:rRNA from 1 species